AAAACAACUUUCAACAACGGAUCUCUUGGCUCUCGCAUCGAUGAAGAACGCAGCGAAAUGCGAUAAGUAAUGUGAAUUGCAGAAUUCAGUGAAUCAUCGAAUCUUUGAACGCACCUUGCGCUCCUUGGUAUUCCGAGGAGCAUGCCUGUUUGAGUGUCAUGAA
rnacentral:rRNA from 1 species